AUUGAACGCUGGCGGCAUGCCUUACACAUGCAAGUCGAACGGCAGCACGGGAGCAAUCCUGGUGGCGAGUGGCGAACGGGUGAGUAAAGUAUCGGAACGUGCCCAGUCGUGGGGGAUAACGUAGCGAAAGUUACGCUAAUACCGCAUACGAUCUAUGGAUGAAAACGGGGGAUCGCAAGACCUCGCGCGAUUGGAGCGGCCGAUAUCAGAUUAGGUAGUUGGUGGGGUAAAGGCUCACCAAGCCGACGAUCUGUAGCUGGUCUGAGAGGACGACCAGCCACACUGGGACUGAGACACGGCCCAGACGCCUACGGGAGGCAGCAGUGGGGAAUUUUGGACAAUGGGCGAAAGCCUGAUCCAGCCAUGCCGCGUGCAGGAGGAAGGCCUUCGGGUUGUAAACUGCUUUUGUACGGAACGAAAAGGUUUGGCCUAAUAAGCUGAGCUCAUGACGGUACCGUAAGAAUAAGCACCGGCUAACUACGUGCCAGCCGCCGCAGUAA
rnacentral:rRNA from 1 species